rnacentral:rRNA from 1 species
GAUGAACGCUGGCGGCGUGCCUAACACAUGCAAGUCGAGCGAACGGACGAGAAGCUUUCCUCUCUGACGUUAGCGGCGGACGGGUGAGUAACACGUGGAUAACCUACCUAUAAGACUGGGAUAACCUCGGGAAACCGGAGCUAAUACCGGCUAAUCUUCUGAACCGCAAGGUUCAAAAGUGAAAGACGGUUUUGCUGCCACUUAUAGAUGGAUCCGUGCUGCAUUAGCUAGUUGGUAAGGUAACGGCUUACCAAGGCAACGAUUCUUAGCCGACUUGGGAGAUUGAGAGCCACAAUGGAACCUGAGAAAGGGGCCGAAUCCCGACGGGAGGCACAAGGAGGGAGACUUCCGAAGUGGGCGAAGGCCGGAGGGAGCAACGCGGGGGGAUUAAUGAAGCUCUCCGGUUGGUAAAUCCCUUUAGUUAGGGAAGAACAAGUAUAUAUGUAACCGUGCCCAUUUGGAGGAUCCCGAAUCAGAAGACCACGGCGAACUCCGU